rnacentral:rRNA from 1 species
UACGUAGGUGGCAAGCGUUGUCCGGAUUUACUGGGCGUAAAGAGCGCGCAGGCGGUCGUUCAAGUCGCGUGUGAAAUCCCUCGGCUUAACCGGGGAACUGCGUCUGAUACUGGAUGGCUUGAGUGUGGGAGAGGGAUGCGGAAUUCCAGGUGUAGCGGUGAAAUGCGUAGAUAUCUGGAGGAACACCGGUGGCGAAGGCGGCAUCCUGGACCAUUACUGACACUGAAAAGCGAAAGCCAGGGGAGCAAACGGG